AUCCAGCUGACGAGUCCGAAAUAGGGCAAAAUGCGCGUCCUGGAU
rfam:Schistosoma mattheei strain Denwood, Zambia genome assembly, scaffold: SMTD_scaffold0012027